GUGGACGCCAGUCUGCGUGGAGCCGACCUUGAAAUACCACCCUUUAAUGUUUGAUGUUCUAACGUGGACCCGUAAUCCGGGUUGCGGACAGUGUCUGGUGGGUAGUUUGACUGGGGCGGUCUCCUCCUAAAGAGUAACGGAGGAGCACGAAGGUUGGCUAAUCCUGGUCGGACAUCAGGAGGUUAGUGCAAUGGCAUAAGCCAGCUUGACUGCGAGCGUGACGGCGCGAGCAGGUGCGAAAGCAGGUCAUAGUGAUCCGGUGGUUCUGAAUGGAAGGGCCAUCGCUCAACGGAUAAAAGGUACUCCGGGGAUAACAGGCUGAUACCGCCCAAGAGUUCAUAUCGACGGCGGUGUUUGGCACCUCGAUGUCGGCUCAUCACAUCCUGGGGCUGAAGUAGGUCCCAAGGGUAUGGCUGUUCGCCAUUUAAAGUGGUACGCGAGCUGGGUUUAGAACGUCGUGAGACAGUUCGGUCCCUAUCUGCCGUGGGCGCUGGAGAACUGAGGGGGGCUGCUCCUAGUACGAGAGGACCGGAGUGGACGCAUCACUGGUGUUCGGGUUGUCAUGCCAAUGGCACUGCCCGGUAGCUAAAUGCGGAAGAGAUAAGUGCUGAAAGCAUCUAAGCACGAAACUUGCCCCGAGAUGAGUUCUCCCUGAGACUUUAGGUCUCCUGAAGGAACGUUGAAGACGACGACGUUGAUAGGCCGGGUGUGUAAGCGCAGCGAUGCGUUGAGCUAACCGGUACUAAUGAACCGUGAGGCUUAACCUUACAACGCCGAAG
rnacentral:rRNA from 3 species